GCGGUUGUGGUGAAAUGGUAGACACGCUACUUUGAGGGGGUAGUGAGCGUUGGCUCAUGGGAGUUCGAGUCUCCCCAACCGCA
rnacentral:tRNA from 3 species